CCUACGGGUGGCAGCAGUGAGGAAUAUUGGUCAAUGGCCGGAAGGCUGAACCAGCCAAGCCGCGUGAAGGAAGAAGGUUCUAUGCUUUGUAAACUUCUUUUGUCGGGGGAUAAAAGUAUGCCCGUGAGGCUGAUUGCGUGUACCCUAUGAAUAAGCAUCGGCUAACUCCGUGCCAGCAGCCGCGGUAAUACGGAGGAUGCGAGCGUUAUCCGGAUUUAUUGGGUUUAAAGGGUGCGUAGGGUGUAUUUUAAGUCAGCGGUGAAAGGUUGUGGCUCAACCAUAGAGUUGCCGUUGAAACUGGAAGACUUGAGCGGGCGUGAGGUAGGCGGAAUGCGGGGUGUAGCGGUGAAAUGCAUAGAUAUCACGCAGAACUCCGAUUGCGAAGGCAGCUUACU
rnacentral:rRNA from 1 species